rnacentral:rRNA from 1 species
GCGUGGAGACAGGUGGUGCAUGGCUGUCGUCAGCUCGUGUCGUGAGAUGUUGGGUUAAGUCCCGCAACGAGCGCAACCCUCACCCCUAGUUGCCACCGGGUAAAGCCGAGCACUCGAGGGGAACUGCCAGCGUCAAGCUGGAGGAAGGCGGGGAUGACGUCAAGUCAUCAUGCCCCUUACGUCCUGGGCUACACACGUGCUACAAUGGCUAGUACAGAGGGAUGCGAGACCGCGAGGUGGAGCUAAUCCCAAGAAGCUGGUCUAAGUUCAGAUUGCAGUCUGCAACUCGACUGCAUGAAGUAGGAAUCGCUAGUAAUCGCGCAUCAGCACGGCGCGGUGAAUACGUUCCCGGGCCUUGUACACACCGCCCGUCACACCACGAAAGCUGGCUGUACUCGAAGUCGCUGAG